rnacentral:sRNA from 1 species
UAUAGGUCUCAGAAGCUCUUUGAGUCGC